UGUUUUUUUAUUUUUUGAACAGGUAAAUCCUAGGUUUUAAUAAACUCUGAACUUCUCUGUUAUUUCAAUUUGAACUUCACCUUUUUAUAUUUUUGAGUAAAGAAUUGUAUUCGAUUUUUAUACGGAAAAAAUCGAACAUGGAAAUACAAGGUGAACCUCUCUCGCAAGAAUUUUUGAACUUCUCCGGACAGAGCACUUGAACUUCUAGCAAAAAGUUUUUUGCCUUUGCUUUUUCAUUAUUUUUAAUACAAAAUGCACACCGUGUAGUACGUGAAGUUCUGGUAGUUAUCAAUCUGAACUUCUCUCGGUUACGUGAAAAUAUCUGAGUUUUUUCAAUUUGUUGGUUUAUCAUUUAGUAACGAGGAAAUCAUGGGUUCUUCAUAUACAUUGAACUAUUCUAUUUUUAAAAAGUGAACUUCUUGGUUUUUACAAUUUGGACUUGUUGGUGUUAUUCAUUUGUAACGGAAAAAUGGGGUAAUAUGUAUUUUAUAGAGUUUUUCAAGUGCUCUGUUAUUUUAAUAUGACCUUUGACUUUUUUUUCUAACGUGUAAAGUAUGUUUUUUGUUACAUUUUUUGAGUUUAUCUAUGAUAUAAUUUUAAUUUUUUUGUCAUCGCUUUUCAAUAAUGGGAAAAUCCAUGGGAGAAUUUUUUUGAACACCCAUAACAUUUUCUUUGAACUCUCCAAUUUAUUAAAUUUGAACUUCAAGAGUUAACAAUUUUUCUUUGUUACACUUUGAUUUCUUCCUUGGUAUAACAUCAAACCUCUCUAUUUUUUAAUAUGAACUUCUCAAUUUAAUCUUUAGUGAUGGAGAAAUUUAUAUUUGAAAUGCUUCUUUAUAUUCGCACCCCAAAGAUGUAUAUUUUUUCGAAAGCAAACAUUUUGAACUUUGUGCGGCACAAACUAUGUAUUUCUCGUCCACUAUUUUUUGUGUGUAUCCAUAUAUUUUUUCAAGAGAACAUACAUACUAGGAUUUCUAAUUUAUAUUUUACAGAGAAGCAUUUUGAUCUCUGUCAAGAACAACACAUAGAAGCAAUGUUCAGGCCAAAGUGGUAAUUAACAACCACUAGACACCAACUGUUAACAUAUAUACAUACUGGUGCUCAGUGACCUUCAUGCAAACACAGUGCCCCAUGUGCAUUCCCAUACAUACACAUUGAACCUUUUCAAAGGACAAGGAUAAACUUCCUCGUGCAGACCGGAACAGGAGCACAAAACACAAGCUCCCACAAGGUGAGCGCGCACACACACGAGACACCAGACCCAACAUGCAUGCCCUAGGACAUGAUGCUCUUUUAUUGACUUGGCGUCUUCCUUUUUUUAAUAAACACACGAAGAGAGAACCAACAGCUACUUACAAGUGUGGUUAGAGCAGCAGUGAUGCACAUGAAGAGCGAGCUGGCCAGCAUCCAGCAUGGCAAACAUGCAUCUUGCAAGGCACACAUGAACCAAGCACAACAUACUAGCACCCGCACACACGAGCCCACAGUGUCGCACAACAAUGGUAGAACUUCACGGAACAUCUCCGAAGAACAUGACGUAUAGAUGUAGUGGGACUUCAUGGAACGUCUCCGAAGCCAAGCACAAAUUUGACUGUCAAAAACAAUAGUUAUGCACAAAGUUGAACUGAACUACUAACACCCGAAUUGAAACCAUGAACAAACUUUAACAGAAUUUUCUACCUGUUCCCAGCAGCAGCAGGGGCAAGCCACGGUGCGAGACACAUAGCUGCGCACACAUAAAAGCAGAGGACGGGAGGGCACACUGGUCCUGUGGCGGCACCAAGCGAAAGUGUGUCACAAUUUCCCAUGUAGCAUCGUAUCUACCACAGCCACCAGUAGACAAGCAAACAAAUUUUAUGAACUAUGUACAAGUAGAACUACCAAAACUAUGUAUUUGUAGUGCCAAAAUGGGUUAAAUCUAUGUUUGUACAUGCAAGCUAUAUACAAAAACUAUUUUUGCAGAAACAUUAGCUAGCUGAUACACACAUGAGGCACUGCACAUAUGGUAUCCUGUCUUUGAAGUGAACAUGAAGUGCAGCCCAUGUGCAACAAGUCAAGGUUCUGCUAUAGGUAGUGGUAGCCUAGUCGUUGAGUAUAUCUGAACCCAUAGUUGCGGUCAUAACUGAACCUUUUAAACAAUUAUACUUGAACGUCUCAGAGAAACAACAAGGAAAACUUCGAUCAGAUGUACUCAC
rnacentral:lncRNA from 1 species